CCCGCUGAACUUAAGCAUAUCAAUAAGCGGAGGAAAAGAAACUAACAAGGAUUCCCCUAGUAACUGCGAGUGAAGCGGGAAAAGCUCAAAUUUAAAAUCUGGCGGUCUUGCGGCCGUCCGAGUUGUAAUCUGGAGAAGCGUUUAUCCGCGUCGGACCGUGUACAAGUCUUCUGGAAGGGAGCGUCGUAGAGGGUGAGAAUCCCGUCUUUGACACGGACAACCGGUGCUUUUGUGAUGCGCUCUCGAAGAGUCGAGUUGUUUGGGAAUGCAGCUCAAAAUGGGUGGUAAAUUUCAUCUAAAGCUAAAUAUUGGCCAGAGACCGAUAGCGCACAAGUAGAGUGAUCGAAAGAUGAAAAGCACUUUGAAAAGAGAGUUAAACAGUAUGUGAAAUUGUUGAAAGGGAAGCGCUUGCAAUCAGACUUGAGCGCGGCGGUUCCCCCAGCCUUUUGGCUGGGCUACUCCGUCGUGUCCAGGCCAACAUCGGUUCUGAGGGUCGGUUAAAGGCUCUGGGAAUGUAUCUACCCACGGGUAGACUUAUAGACCAGGGUGUCAUGCGGCCUCUCGGGACCGAGGAACGCGCUUCGGCUCGGAUGUUGGCGUAAUGGUUGUCAGCGACCCGUCUUGAAACACGG
rnacentral:rRNA from 1 species